rnacentral:misc_RNA from 1 species
GUUCGCGGGAGAGUAGGUUAUUGCCAGGGUUUUUAUUUUGUAAUUUAAACCUUAAAUUUAUUUUUUUAAUGUUUAUGUUUUUGAAUGUUUUAUUCAAAUAAUGUAAAAAAUAAAAUAGAUAUUGACAUGGAUUGAACAAAAGAUAUAUAUUAUUUUAUGUUGCAUAAACAAAUUGGCAAAAUAGAGAUGGAAGAUAAAAAUAUGGUCAAAGUAAUAAGAGUCUAUGGUGAAUGCCUAGGAGCUUUAAGGCGAAGAAGGUCGUGGUAAGCUGCGAAAAGCUUGGGGGAGAAGCAAACAUUUAUUGAUCCCAAGAUUACCGAAUGGAGUAAUCCAACUAGCAAGAUGCUAGUUAUCUAUUAUCUAAAUAAUAGAGGCGAUACCAGGGGAAGUGAACCAUCUAAGUACCCUGAA